GGAGGCCGCGGGGAGGAGCCGGGCGGCCCCCGCGGAGCCGGGCUGGUGGCGGCGGUCCCUCCUCCGCGCCGCUGCGCACCGAGACAACAUGGUGGAGGCGUGCGGGGCGGCGGGGAGGGAGCCGGGGCUUGCCCUGCCCCGCGGCUCGCCCGAGAGCGGCCGCCUACUCCCGGCCUUGGGUCGCGGGGACCCCGGUCCGGGUAGAGCUGCUCCUUCCGCCGUGUCGUUCUGGGCCGGUGAGCUCGGGGAGCUUCUCUUGCCAGAGAAGCUGAACGUGAAAGAUUCCGGCAGCGGAGCCCUUCGGCGUGGUGCGUGAAAAGCGAACAAAAAUAACUUUUAAAACUCCUCGCCUAGGCAUCUUCAGGAGUAAAAAAGGAGCAGAACAGAACCAAACCUGAGCCUGCCUUCAGGAGUGCUGAAGCUGGUGAUGGUACAUCACAGCCACCCAGAACCUUUUUGUUCAUAUUCUUCAAAAGAAAAGACUGCUGUAAAGGUUCAGAAGAACUAAGUAUACGCAAUGAAUUCAGAACUACAAGCUAUAAAAAUGACCAAUAUAUUUAGAAAGGAGAGGUUUUACCAACAUAUACAAAUUUUGAGUUAUUCUAAGAAAGGCAGCAGGCAAAUAGUCCUUUCCUCCCUUCUACUUCUUUGAAUAUGCAAUUAAUUGAUCCUGUUUUUUCAGAUAACUGUAAAACUUUGGACGGAAUGUAUAAAUCUUUGCUUCUUUUUUUUUUUUUUUAGUUUUUAAGUAAUGUUGUAUUCUACUAUUUUCUUUUGUUUCAUACAUUUCAUUAAACAGUUUGUUGAAGCCAGA